rnacentral:rRNA from 1 species
UACGUAGGGGGCAAGCGUUGUCCGGAAUCAUUGGGCGUAAAGCGCGUGUAGGCGGUUGCCCAAGUCGGGUGUGAAAGCCUUGAGCUCAACUCAAGAAAUGCACUCGGUACUGGGUGACUAGAGGACCGGAGAGGAUAGUGGAAUUCCCAGUGUAGUGGUGAAAUACGUAGAGAUUGGGAAGAACACCAGUGGCGAAGGCGGCUAUCUGGACGGUUUCUGACGCUAAGACGCGAAAGCGUGGGGAGCAAACAGG